UACGAGAGGCGCAAACGUUAUUCGGAAUUACUGGGCUUAAAGAGUUCGUAGGCGGCGCAGAAAGUAGGGUGUGAAAGCCCUCGGCUCAACCGAGGAAUUGCGCUCUAAACUACUGUGCUUGAGGGACCUAGAGGUGAGCGGAACUGAUGGUGGAGCGGUGAAAUGCGUUGAUAUCAUCAGGAACACCGGAGGCGAAGGCGGCUCACUGGGGGUCUUCUGACGCUGAGGAACGAAAGCCAGGGGAGCAAACGGG
rnacentral:rRNA from 1 species